ensembl:lncRNA
CUGGCAUCUUUACUGACAUCCUCCCUGAGCUCCUCCCUGGCAUCUUCAUUGACAUCCUCCCUGAGCUCUUCACUGGCAUCUUCACUGGCAUCCUCAAUGACAUCCUCAAUGGCAUUGUCUUGUCACCGGCAUCGUCACCAACAAUCUAACUGGAAUCUUUACUGCCAUCCUCACUGCCAUCCUCCCUUCCCACGCUUGGCAAAGCAGGUGCUGUUUUUUGCCCCUUCCUGUGUAAAGUAAGCCCUGGAAAGUUUAAUUGUCUGUCUCAUAGCCAUGGAGCUAAUCUUUUGGAUAUUAUUGUAAGCCUCCCUGCUUCUUUGUUCAAUAUCUCCACAUUUUUCCUUGUGCAAUCUAUUUCUAUAUCUUUUGUGAAAACACAUAACGUUUUAUUUCUGCCCAGUUUAGAAACUACGAAUAUAGUUAUUGUCCACUUGGGGAAAAUGUAACAAGCUUUAAAACACCAAUCAUCUCACUAUAAUUCUAUAAAUUGGUGCCAAAAAUAGCUAAUUUACAUCUUUAGAGCUGCGAUACUUAGUCUCCAUCAGGUCAUUGGUAAAUCUCUGUCCCUUUAGUCGCAACAGUUGAAGCAGUGACAUUUCAGGGUUGAACAGCGAGUGUCUCACUCAAUGUGUACAGACAAUACGAAGCAGGUAAACACCCUUGUGGUUUACUGAUAACCAGCUCCAGCCACUGAGCACCACAACUUGUGCACAAGUAAUUACAGGUAUUUCAUAUAUUUACAGUAGUUUAACCCAUAUUUAGAUAAGAUUAUUAAUUGGUAAUCUAGUCAUUUUUCACAAUUCCUACAUUCCUAUUUAUGAAUAUGCUAUUCCGCUAAUAUCUUCAGUCAGUAAACAGCAGCACAAUGCUCACACAAGCCCAACCAAGGAGUGUUACUAUGUGAGCAACUCUAUUGAUGGAAGGGAAACCACCACAACCCAGUGCGGCAUGGCACAAGCUGAACAGAGGCGGGAGAAGGAUGAACACAUUAUUAGAAGGAGAACUGCAGUAUCAGCAGGUUGAGGUUUAAUGAACGCCAGCUUUAUUAAUCACAUUUGCUCAUUUACUCCCUGUGUGGUCCCAAGUUCAACUGUUCCCACUUGAUCACACCUCUUAACCCGUUCCAAUGAUUUCGACACGGACAUGAUUUAGUGUAGAGUUUAUCCUUGAAUGCAUCAGUAAGUUUUAAGCUGCCUUUUUCUUCCCGUGUCACAUUUGGAGCUCUGCGAUGACCAUUUCUGUGACCAACAUUCACCCCGCAGUGAAGAGCUGAGAACGGUUUAAACUGCCAUGCUUAGCCAUUUUUUUCAUCUUCUCAAUGUCUCACAUGAACAACUAAGUCACUGAACACUAUGGAUUUUAUCAAGAGGGAGAGAGAAUGUCUGAAAACGAAGAAAAGAAAAGAAGACGCAUUUGUUGGGGACUAUUUACUGCAUGUGUUGCUCUAGUGAGAGUUUUGGCAGCAGGACGGUGAAUCGGGAAUCAGGAACAUUUAUGUGGGACUCAAUAAAUCUCAGUGUGAGUGUCGAUGGUAAUAAGGGAACAUAUACUAAGGAGCGUUGAUGUGUUUUAAUAUAUUUAGGAGCUCAAUGGGCUUGAUGGUAUUGUUCUUUCUGUGAGUUAAAAAGGGGUGAUGGAAAGCUGUGGUUCAUUCCAUCUGAUGUUGUAUUUUGGGCUAUAAAAAUAAGUAAAGUAAAAAAUAUAGUUAUUAAUCAUCAAUCUGUUAGCAUUGUCAUUUUAGCAUGUUGAGAUUAGCGUUUAGCUUGAGAGCCGCACACAUCUGUCAGCAUCACUUGUAUCACUAAACCCUUUUACUCUUCUCUGUUUAUGACUUUAAUUCAUGGACAAUGUGAAUGGUACAUUUAAAAAAUGUGUAUUGCAUGAACACACAGAACAUUUAGAAAGAUCUUGAUAAUGGACUUACAUUAAGGUGGUUUUGUAAAUCAACAUUGUACGUACAGGCUGAGAGAAGUUCUUUCUCUCCUGAAAUCUAUAUUCAGAAUGACCAACUCCAGGCAACGAACACUGCGUAUCAGCUUUGUCUUUCACUGUGUCUGUCUGACGUCCAUUUCUUAUUUCGGCCUCUGUCUUCCCAAGUGACUCUUGAGCUUGCGUUGUCCUUGUCCCCCCUGUUUAGAGAAACAAACCAUAAAGUUUUCCCUCUGCUUUCAACAGGAAGAAAAUCUGUUUUCCAUUUUCUUUUUUUCUGUCUGGGUCCUGCUGUUUUUCUCUCCCGCCCCUUCUCCCCCCUUCAUCUUCCCCUCCUCCCUCCCUUUCUCUGCUUUUGCUGGCUCUGCUCUCAUUCCUGCCUCCUCCCCCCUCAGCUCCUCCAGUCCUCUGUCUUCCCUCUGGAGAAUAGGGGUCAUUGCACAAAUGAUUACUCAGACCCCCGUUGCCAUGGCGAUGCUGCCACGUAACGGGCGACCGGCACGGAGCGCAGCAGAGAAGCCGAUUAGUAAGCGGGCGAUGGAGGAAGCGAGCGCCGCCUUUGUGUAGCUCCGCUUCGCCUCUGUUUCUUUCAAAUAGCUUGUGUCCUUCCGUGUGUUUUAAAGCCGGAGGAGGGUGGAGGGGGAGACGGAGAGCAGAGGAGCAGGAAGGAGCCUGCACACAUUCUGCUCACCGCCCUCCGGCUUUGUCUCCUUCUCCUGCUCGCCUGGUCUGUCUGAACGAGGCCUGCUGUUGGUUCAGCCCAGCAGACUCUCUUCUGUUCCGGCCACAGCCCAGAGUUCUCAGAUGGAAAACGUGCGCGUGAACAACAACAUUUUCAACAACAAAAUAUUUUUUCGUUCCGCACGACAAACGAAGGCGAUCUUGCUCGUCAUUGUUUAGGAAGUCCCCAUCCGUCCUUUCUGCAGAGGGAACUAUGGAAGCCCAUGAGAACCAACACUCCACUCCAGGCUCUUUAAGGAGCAGAGCAGCGCGCCUGCCGUCAAUUCCGGGACGCACACACAAGAAAAAC